rnacentral:rRNA from 1 species
GACGAACGCUGGCGGCGUGCCUAACACAUGCAAGUCGAACGGAAAGGCCCUGCUUUUGUUGGUUUCUCGAUUGGCGAACGGGUGAGUAACACGUGUGUAACCUGCCCCUGACUGUGUGAUAACUUCAGGAAACUGGGGCUAAUACCUGAGAGGAGCUCCUGCUGCAUGUUGUGGGAUGGAAAGUUUCGGCUGUUGGGUAUGGACUCGCUGCUUAUCAGCUUGUUUGUGGGGUAGUGGCUGACCAAGGCUUUGACGGGUAGCCGGCCUGAGAGGGUGACCGGCCACACUGGGACUGACAUACGGCACAGAUUGCUAAGGGAGGGCGAAGUGCGGAAUAUUGAACGAUGGGCGGCACGCUGAUGAAGAAACGCCGCGUGCCGGAUAACGGCCUUAGGGUUGUAAAACGAUUUCGCAUGUAACGAAGCGCGAGUGACGGUAAUGGGUACAGAAGGCCCCGCCAAACAAGUG